UACAGAGGGGGCAAGCGUUGUUCGGAAUUACUGGGCGUAAAGGGCGCGUAGGCGGCCUUCUAAGUCGAACGUGAAAUCCCUCGGCUUAACCGGGGAACUGCGCUUGAUACUGGAUGGCUUGAGAUUGGGAGAGGGAUGCGGAAUUCCAGGUGUAGCGGUGAAAUGCGUAGAUAUCUGGAGGAACACCGGUGGCGAAGGCGGCAUCCUGGACCGGCAUUGACGCUGAGGAGCGAAAGCCAGGGGAGCAAACGGG
rnacentral:rRNA from 1 species